rnacentral:rRNA from 1 species
UUGUCCUGCCAAGGGCAUGGCUGGGUAGCUAUGUACGGAAUGGAUAAGCGCUGAAAGCAUCUAAGCGCGAAGCCAACUUCAAGAUAAGAUUUCCCACCGCAAGGGUAAGACCCCAGAAAGACUAUCUGGUUGAUAGGUCGAAGGUGUAAGUGCAGCAAUGUAUUUAGCUUAUCGAUACUAAUAGGUCGAGGACUUGACCAAU